CAUUUCUAACAGAAAUUAUUGUUAGUCCCACCUGCUCAAUGAAUAUUAAAUAGCCGCGGAAUAUUAACCGUGCUAAGGUAGCACAAUCACUAGCCUCUUAAUUAGAGGCUCGCAUGAAAGGUGAAACAUUUCAAACACUAUAUUUAAUAAUUUUUUUUAAAGUUAAAUUAAGAAUAAAAAUGUUCUUAUAAAAAAAAUAGACGAUAAGACCCUUUUGAACUUUACUUUAGUUUAGCUGGGGCAGCUAAUAAAUUACUAUCUUUAUCAAUUUAUUAUAUAAAUGACCCAAUAAAUUUGAUUAUUUGAACAAUGUUACCAUAGGGAUAACAGCGUAAUAUAUUUUUAAAGCUCUUAUUUAAAAUUAAGUUUGCGACCUCGAUGUUGAAUUAAUAUAUCUUUAAGCGGUGCAGUUACUGUAAAAGUAGGUCUGUUCGACCUUUAUAAUAUUACAUGAUC
rnacentral:rRNA from 1 species